rnacentral:rRNA from 1 species
UACAGGGGGUGCAAACGUUGUUCGGAAUUACUGGGCGUAAAGCGUGUGUAGGCGGCUACAUAAGUCGGAUGUGAAAGCCCCGGGCUCAACCCGGGAAGUGCACUCGAUACUGCGUAGCUUGAGUCUCGGAGAGGUUGGUGGAAUUCUCGGUGUAGAGGUGAAAUUCGUAGAUAUCGAGAGGAACACCGGUGGCGAAGGCGGCCAACUGGACGAAGACUGACGCUGAGACACGAAAGCGUGGGGAGCAAACAGG